GCGCCAGUAGCUCAGCUGGAUAGAGCGUCUGACUACGGAUCAGAAGGUCGGGAGUUCGAAUCUUCCCUGGCGCGCCA
rnacentral:tRNA from 4 species